AGAGUUUGAUCAUGGCUCAGAUUGAACGCUGGCGGUAGGCCUAAUACAUGCAAGUCGAGCGCGAAAUUCCUUUCGGGGAAUGGAGAGCGGCGGACGGGUGAGUAACACGUAGGAAUCUACCUGGUAGUGGGGAAUAGCCCAGGGAAACCUGGAUUAAUACCGCAUACGUUCUACGGAACAAAGGGAGCCUCUUCUUGAAAGCUCUCGCUACCAGAUGAGCCUGCGUCGGAUUAGCUUGUUGGCGGGGUAAAAGCCCACCAAGGCGACGAUCCGUAGCUGGUCUUAGAGGAUGAUCAGCCACACUGGGACUGAGACACGGCCCAGACUCCUACGGGAGGCAGCAGUAGGGAAUAUUGGACAAUGGGGGAAACCCUGAUCCAGCCAUACCGCGUGUGUGAAGAAGGCCCUAGGGUUGUAAAGCACUUUCAACAAGGAUAAAAAGCCAAGUGUUAAUAGCAUUUGGUAUUGAUAUUAUUUGUACAAGAAGCACCGGCAAACUCCGUGCCAGCAGCCGCGGUAAUACGGAGGGUGCAAGCGUUAAUCGGAAUUACUGGGCGUAAAGCGCGCGUAGGUGGCUUAGCAAGCCAGAUGUGAAAUCCCCGGGCUCAACCUGGGAACUGCAUUUGGAACUGCUAGGCUAGAGUGCAGUAGAGGGUAUUGGAAUUUCCGAUGUAGCGGUGAAAUGCGUAGAUAUCGGAAAGAACACCAGUGGCGAAGGCGAAUACCUGGACUGAUACUGACACUGAGGUGCNNNNNNNNNNNNNNNNNNNNNNACUAGCUGUUGGUUGUGUNUCAUUGAUGGCAUUUAGCCACAAGUGUCAUGAAUGAACGCAAUCAGUAGCGUAGCUAACGCGUUAAGUUGACCGCCUGGGGAGUACGGCCGCAAGGUUAAAACUCAAAUGAAUUGACGGGGACCCGCACAAGCGGUGGAGCAUGUGGUUUAAUUCGAUGCAACGCGAAGAACCUUACCUACUCUUGACAUCCUUGGAAGCUNCUUGUAAUGAGAGUGUGCCUUCGGGAACCAAGUGACAGGUGCUGCAUGGCUGUCGUCAGCUCGUGUUGUGAAAUGUUGGGUUAAGUCCGGUAACGAGCGCAACCCCUAUCUUUAGUUACUAACAGUUCGGCUGAGAACUCUAGAGAGACUGCCAGUGAUAAACUGGAGGAAGGUGGGGAUGAUGUCAAGUCAUCAUGGCCCUUGCGAGUAGGGCUACACACGUGCUACAAUGGUUGGUACAAAGGGUUGCAAACUCGCGAGAGUAAGCUAAUCCCAAAAAGCCAAUCGUAGUCCGGAUCGGAGUCUGCAACUCGACUCCGUGAAGUCGGAAUCGCUAGUAAUCGCGAAUCAGAAUGUCGCGGUGAAUACGUUCUCGGGUCUUGUACACACCGCCCGUCACACCAUGGGAGUUGAUUGCACCAGAAGUGGUUAGCCUAACCUUCGGGAGGGCGGUCACCACGGUGUGGUUAAUGACUGGGGUGAAGUCGUAACAAGGUA
rnacentral:rRNA from 1 species